ACACACACACACACACACACACACACACACACACACACACACACACACACACACACACACACACACACACACACACACACACGGUACGCUCCGUUCUGACAGACAGCAUGCUGGCAGUUAAGAAGAGCUGUGAUUGGGCAAAGACAUCUUUCUUCUCAACAAAAGCUUAAGUGCAGUCAUUCUUCUCUUAGUGAAAAUAUACCGUCCAGUUUACAACGGCAGCCAACUUUGUUGUUGUUGAAAACGCAUCUACGUCACUCCUCUGCACGUCCUCUAUUCAUCAGUGAUUGCUCGGUCUAUCUCGUACCGGGCUCGUGAGGUUUCAUCCUGUUUAUUGAGUCAGACAGGAAGGUCAGGGAGAGAGACACCCGGACCACGGCAACCGGGUCCCCGGUCGCUGUAGUGAGGGUCCAUGGUCGCCGUGCUGUGGACUGGGCCUUAGUAGGACGCGCUCAAACCGGUGAUCCACCGGGCGCCCGUGAAGAUAUCUUUUGGUUUGGGAUAGUCUCCACCAGAAGGUCUCUAGUCUCCACCAGAAGGUCUCCAGUCUCCAGUAGAAGGUCUCCAGUCUCCAGUAGAAGGUCUCCAGUCUCCAGUAGAAGGUCUCUAGUCCCCAGUAAAAGGUCUCCAGUCUCCAGUAGAAGGUCUCCAGUCUCCAGUAGAAGGUCUCUAGUCUCCACCAGAAGGUCUCUAGUCUCCACCAGAAGGUCUCUAGUCCCCAGUAGAAGGUCUCCAGUCUCCACCAGAAGGUCUCUAGUCUCCACCAGAAGGUCUCUAGUCUCCAGUAGAAGGUCUCUAGUCUCCACCAGAAGGUCUCCAGUCUCCACCAGAAGGUCUCUAGUCUCCAGUAG
ensembl:lncRNA